rnacentral:lncRNA from 1 species
CGAUGUGAUAUGCCAUGUGAGGCAAUGACAGUGGUCAACCCUGUCAUAGGUUAUAAACAAUGGCGCACAACCACACCUCAAGCAAACACGUCUCCCGGUGUGUUCUGUGUACUACGCAGACAAAUAGCAUUUGUGCACACAAAUGAAUG